AUGGCGACGCCGAUGCUGCGAUCUGCCGUUGCUGGCCUCGCGCUCGAGCGAUCGGCAAGCCUGAGGCUUCCGGCUCGCCCUGCGUCGGCCGCAUCCUUCAGCAGCAACGCCGCCGCCGGCCGGUUCGAGAAGCGUCAGGUCGAUGAGAAGAACGACGAGUCAGAUGCAGCACGGCGACGACGCAAACAAGAAAGACAUGGCAUCUCUCGAGGCCACGCUGGUGAUUCUGGUGAUUCUUCUUGGAUGAUGAUGAUGUUGGACGACGACAAGCCUCCUUCCACCGGACCACACUCUACUACGGACUCCUCCUCCACCUCCCGUGCGUCUGCGACGGCGGAGUCGGACGUGUCCUCGCCGUCGUCGGGGGGCUUCUGGGGCGGGGAAAGCUCCUGGUCGUGGGGCUCGGGAGGAGGGGACUCGGGCUUCGGAGGAGGGGACUGCUCGGGAGACUAG
rnacentral:rRNA from 1 species